rnacentral:rRNA from 1 species
GUGGGGAAUAUUGGACAAUGGGCGAAAGCCUGAUCCAGCCAUGCCGCGUGUGUGAAGAAGGCCUUUUGGUUGUAAAGCACUUUAAGCGAGGAGGAGGCUACUGAGAUUAAUACUCUUGGAUAGUGGACGUUACUCGCAGAAUAAGCACCGGCUAACUCUGUGCCAGCAGCCGCGGUAAUACAGAGGGUGCAAGCGUUAAUCGGAUUUACUGGGCGUAAAGCGCGCGUAGGUGGCCAAUUAAGUCAAAUGUGAAAUCCCCGAGCUUAACUUGGGAAUUGCAUUCGAUACUGGUUGGCUAGAGUAUGGGAGAGGAUGGGAGAAUUCCAGGUGUAGCGGUGAAAUGCGUAGAGAUCUGGAGGAAUACCGAGGGCGAAGGCAGCCAUCUGGCCUAAUACUGACACUGAGGUGCGAAAGCAUGGGGAGCAAACAGGAUUAGAAACCCUGGUAGUCC